AGAUCUAACAAUGUAACGAAAACUACUAAAUGUAUACUCUAACAAUGAGAUAAGAAUGUAACGAAAACUAUUAAAUGUAAUCUCUAACAACAUCAAUAAUCGUACUGGUCUACUCCGGGUUUCAACCAUCUAAGUUAUUCAACGAAAGAAUCUUCAGCUCCUGAGAGUCGAGCUGACUACAAAAAAUACUAUACAUGUUAUAACAUAUCACCGAUAAUGUAACGAAUAAUCUUUGAUGCUUUCAGACCAAUCUACACAACUCGCCAACAUAAAUUCCCCAACUAAAC
rnacentral:lncRNA from 1 species